UAUAAACUUCGAAAGCAUAAAUGAAUUGGAUAUAGUAUUAAUAGAUUGAUGCUUAAGGAAUGAAAUGUUUUCAGGAGUAUAACCCGCUCAAAACGCCUUUUCUAUUUUAAAGAUAUAUAUUUACAUUAUUUACAAACAGUUUGGAGGCGUGAGUAUUAAAAGUAUGAAUGAGUAUGAGUAUGAAAAAGUAUGAGUAUGAAAAAGUAUGAAUGAAAAAUUAUAAUAUUAGAGAGAAAAAUUUGCGGUGAGGAGCUUUUAAGGAUUCAUUCAUAAUGAUGCUCCAAAGGCAAUACUAGCUCUUCAAGGCUAAUGCAAUACCAUAAUUAUUACCGAAGGAAAGUAAUAUAUUUAUAGCAAUUACUCAACUCAGGCUCUGAAACCACAGAGGACAUUACAUUACUCCCUAUUUUUACGAGACCUGACAUCAUUAGCGUGACGUCAUGAGAGAAACGUAGACCUGAAUUCUCACCUGCAAUUCUUUUAUCCUGCUUUUAAGAGAACAUUGUCGGGUGAAGACAACUCCAUUUCAUUCCGGAAUUCAGGCUCAUGGUGAUUGGCUUUUUGCGUCACGUGGCUAUUUUCAACCAUCCACAGAGGAACGAUUUUUCACUUGCAAUUCUUCUAUAGCUAGCCUGCUUUCAGGAAAUAAAUGUCGUGCGAAGACAAUUCUAUGUUAGGACGAAAUUCUGACGCGUGAUGAUUGGUCCUUUGCGUUACUUGACUAUUUUCUGCCAUCCACAGAAGGACGAAAUUCAAUUUUCGCUGUCAAUAACGAGGAAAUGAAGUAAUUUUCAAGGAAAAACAUUUUUACUUUCACCUUUUCUUCUUCUUCUUUUGUAAUAAAAUGCAUAAGUAAUAUAUUUGUAAACUUAAUUUUGCUAUCAAAUAAAUAAUAGAGUUGUCCAAGCCUGAGGCUGAACACUGAGUGGAAUAAAUUAAUUAUCGUUU